rnacentral:rRNA from 1 species
GACGAACCGUGCGAACGUUGUUCGGAAUCACUGGCUUAAAGGGCGCGUAGGCGGGCCGAAAAGUCAGGGGUGAAAUCCUCCAGCUUAACUGGGAGAACUGCCUUUGAUACUGGCGGUCGUGGAGUAAGGUAGGGGCAUGCGGAACUGAUGGUGGAGCGGUGAAAUGUGUUGAUAUCAUCAGGAACUCCGGUGGCGAAAGCGGCGUGCCUGGACCUUACUGACGCUGAGGCGCGGAAAGCCAGGGGA